rnacentral:rRNA from 1 species
GAUGAACGCUGGCGGCGUGCCUAAUACAUGCAAGUCGAGCGAACGGACGAGAAGCUUGCUUCUCUGAUGUUAGCGGCGGACGGGUGAGUAACACGUGGAUAACCGACCUAUAAGACUGGGAUAACUUCGGGAAACCGUAGCUAAUACCGGAUAAUAUGUUGAACGGCAUGGUUCAAAAGUGAAAGACGGUCUUGAUGUCACUAAUAGAUGGAUCCGCGCUGCAUUAGCUAGUUGGUAAGGUAACGGCUUACCAAGGCAACGAUGCAUAGCCGACCUGAGAGGGUGAUCGGCCACACUGGAACUGAGACACGGUCCAGACUCCUACGGGAGGCAGCAGUAGGGAAUCUUCCGCAAUGGGCGAAAGCCUGACGGAGCAACGCCGCGUGAGUGAUGAAGGUCUUCGGAUCGUAAAGCUCUGUUAUUAGGGAAGAACAUAUGUGUAAGUAACUGUUCACAUCUUGACGUUACCUAAUCAGAAAGCCACGGCUAACUACGUG